ACCGGUAUUUGUUAUGAUAGUUUUGAAUUUAUGUUAAUUAUUAUUGUUUCGAGCUUUAUUUGUUAUUGCAUUUAUUAUUCCUAAGAAUGUGUCUAAUGUUCAUUGUUGCGUUGUGCAUUGGCAUCAACAUUAGACAUGUUGGAUAAUAAUGAAACUGUGUUUCACACAAAACGUCUUUCUUAUUAAGGGCCUUAUAUUACAGUAAAACUUGGUUUAAACAAAUUUGCUGGAACCUAAGACAUAAUUUCGCUAUAUCCAUAAUUUGUUAUACAUGUAUCUGUGAAAUAAUUUCAUAAAAUUUUUAUAGCUAGGGAUUCAAGAUAAUUUCACUUUGUAUGCAUUUGAAUUCACAAUAUUUGUGUUUGUACCAAACAAGUUUUACUGUAUCUAUUAUUUCAGCUCUGUAUUUUAAAAUUUUGUUAGUAUUUUAUAGUUGGACAUUGUUCACUAAAGAUGAAGAGAAUUAAGCCAAAUUCUAAACCAUCAUUGAUAAGCAGAUGCAACCUACUGUCCUUGAGGAAACAGCAGAUGCGCUCCACUUGACUUGGUGGAUUCAGCAGAUGCAUCCAAAAGGACUUAAUGUAUACAGAAGAUGCACACCACUGGAUUUGGUGAGACAGCAGAUGUACCCUACUGGCCAUGUUGGAGACAGUAAAUGGACCCAUUACAGGACAUGCUGGAAACAGUAGAUGCACUUCUUGGACUUUGUGGAAACAGCAGAUGCACCCAACUGGACUUGGUGGAUACAGAAGAUGGACCCAACAGGACAUGAUGGAUACAACUGGAAGAGACUUGCCUGAUGAUGUUGACCUUCCAAACAAGACAUAUCUAAGGAGAUUAUUGACACUGAUCAGCCUGGCUUAUUUUUAGCUCUACUGGUCAGACACGAAUAAAAGCUUGCAAUUGUAAACAAGGGCAUGACAUGGUGGACACAGCUGGAGGAGGCAGGGCCAAUGGAUGCUAAUCUUCCAAGAUGUGGAAACAGAAGAUGUCCUGAACAAGACCUGUGUAACAGCAGAUGCACCUAACUGGACACUGAUGGAAACAACUGGAUGAUGCAUAACCAUUACUUGCUGAUCUUCCAAGAUGUGGAAACAGCAAAUGCACCCAACAGUACAUGGUGAAAACAGUAGAUGAACCCAAAAGAACCUGAUAGAAACAACUGGAUGAUGAAUAGCCAAAGGAUGCUGAUCUGACAUUUAUCAGCUGCAGCCAACAGAAACUUGUGGAAACAACUGGAAUAGACAAGCUUGAUGAACCUCU